rnacentral:rRNA from 1 species
GGCUCAGGAUGAACGCUGGCGGCGUGCCUAAUACAUGCAAGUCGAACGAACUUCCGUUAAUUGAUCAGGACGUGCUUGCACUGAAUGAGAUUUUAACACGAAGUGAGUGGCGGACGGGUGAGUAACACGUGGGUAACCUGCCCAGAAGCAGGGGAUAACACCUGGAAACAGAUGCUAAUACCGUAUAACAGAGAAAACCGCCUGGUUUUCUUUUAAAAGAUGGCUCUGCUAUCACUUCUGGAUGGACCCGCGGCGCAUUAGCUAGUUGGUGAGGUAACGGCUCACCAAGGCGAUGAUGCGUAGCCGACCUGAGAGGGUAAUCGGCCACAUUGGGACUGAGACACGGCCCAGACUCCUACGGGAGGCAGCAGUAGGGAAUCUUCCACAAUGGACGCAAGUCUGAUGGAGCAACGCCGCGUGAGUGAAGAAGGGUUUCGGCUCGUAAAGCUCUGUUGUUAAAGAAGAACGUGGGUGAGAGUAACUGUUCACCCAGUGACGGUAUUUAACCAGAAAGCCACGGCUAACUACGUGCCAGCAGCCGCGGUAAUACGUAGGUGGCAAGCGUUAUCCGGAUUUAUUGGGCGUAAAGCGAGCGCAGGCGGUCUUUUAAGUCUAAUGUGAAAGCCUUCGGCUCAACCGAAGAAGUGCAUUGGAAACUGGGAGACUUGAGUGCAGAAGAGGACAGUGGAACUCCAUGUGUAGCGGUGAAAUGCGUAGAUAUAUGGAAGAACACCAGUGGCGAAGGCGGCUGUCUGGUCUGUAACUGACGCUGAGGCUCGA